GUUCGAGGAAGCGGCAAACGAUCUGAGACUAGCUUGUAAGCUGGAUUUCGAUGAACAAGCAGACGAAUGGCUACGUGAGACGACACCGAAUAAUUGAUGUGAACUUACGGCGAAUCUUCUGGCGCUUGCUAUCUUGUGCUCAACCCUCUUGUUUAUUGCGGAACGUAGGUCGCGAAGAAAUGCGCGUUCUUGAGCGUACAACAACCUGAUAGGCGCACCAGCCUCGUAGGGUAAUGACCAUAACGACGUAGAAUACAUUAUUGGCGGCUCCGCGCUUGACAUGAGCGGUGAUAUAUUCCAGAUUAAGGCGCCUUGCACCCUCAUGAGUUCUUCAGGCUUUACCUGGUCGGCUUUGUUAAGGAUAAUACGGGUCUGUGUGAAAGUAAUGUUAUAUUAGGCGUUUUUUAAAUUUUUUAGGGGCAAAUAACUUUAUCUCUCUUUA
rnacentral:misc_RNA from 1 species